ACAAACAUUUGUGGAUAGCAGUCCAGUUCUUUGGAUGUACUGAUAAAGUUGGAAGUAUAGUCAGUCUCAUUAGGGUUACUAGUGGGUGUAACAGGAUACAGAAAGAUGCAAACGGUGACCCAAGUCCUCAAUGUUCAUAUUUCUGUAGCUAAUUACAUUCUGACCUGAUCCCUACCCCAUCAGCCUGUGAGUGUAUUUCCAGCUUAUGUUAAAAUAAACCAUUCAGUUCCAAAGGUGAUGCUGGACUAGUUCAUUUCCCCUUCACUUUCCCAUUUCAUGGUGAAACAUAACAAGGUUAUCUCCCAUUUUAUGCUAAAGCUAUCAUACACAAAGUCCAAUUACACCAUCUGGAUGUAGCCUAUAAUACUAAAGAUCUAUGAUUUGACACACAAGAUUGUCUAAAUUUCCUAUCUCAAAUGCAACUUUCUAUGUAAGAGACUUCAGUAAAACAGGUUUCUGGUUUAUUGCACUUCUACAAAAAUAAGCAUAAAAUACAGAAUAAAACUCAAAACGUGUCUUGUCUACCAAGUUUCUGUGUGCACUAUGCUUUCUUACCAUUGUAAGGAAAAAUGCUGCUCAUAACCUGUUAUCAUCUCACUGGGAGAAAAUCACUGUUGUCUUCUUUCUGCCCAGGUGACUCAUAAAAGAAGAAAACAGUCAUUAGUAAUAGUAGUCAUAGUCGUAGUAGUAUUUAUAUCAUGCUUUAGUUCUCCCAAAGGAGAGUCAAAACCAUAAACUUCUGGACCAGUCUCUGCCAGCCUGACACCUCCUUCAAUACUUGUGCCAUCCUCAUACACAUCCCUACUAUUCCCUGGGAGCAAGGGACAACGUGAGCAGCUAUGGUAAUGGCUGUCAAUCUAACAGGAGAUAUUUUUAGGUAAAGUUCAAGUGCUUUACUUGCGGGACAGAUAUCCAUGACUUCACUUGUUCACCUCCAAAAAUGUAAUAUGGGCAUUUUCUAGGUCCUCUAGUGGGGUUUUGUGAUCAGCUUCCUCUGAAAGUUAGCCAGGAGGUUGCCCUGGAGACCCUAGAAAUGCUAGACAGCUAUUCUCUCUAGACAUUUCAUAACUCCUCAAUCUCGGUUCUAUGGUAUGCUUUCACCA
rnacentral:lncRNA from 1 species